GGAGGAUUAGCUCAGCUGGGAGAGCGUCUGCCUAACAAGCAGAGGGUCGGCGGUUCGAGCCCGUCAUCCUCCA
rnacentral:tRNA from 1 species